rnacentral:rRNA from 1 species
CCUACGGGGGGCUGCAGUAGGGAAUCUUCCGCAAUGGACGAAAGUCUGACGGAGCAACGCCGCGUGAGCGAAGAAGGUCUUCGGAUCGUAAAGCUCUGUUGUUAGGGAAGAACAAGUACGGGAGGAAAUGACCGUACCUUGACGGUACCUAACGAGGAAGCCACGGCUAACUACGUGCCAGCAGCCGCGGUAAUACGUAGGUGGCAAGCGUUGUCCGGAAUUAUUGGGCGUAAAGCGCGCGCAGGCGGUCUUUUAAGUCUGAGGUGAAAGGCUACGGCUCAACCGUAGUAAGGCUUUGAAACUGUAGGGCUUGAGUGCAGGAGAGGAGAGUGGAAUUCCCAGUGUAGCGGUGAAAUGCGUAGAUAUUGGGAGGAACACCAGUUGCGAAGGCGGCUCUCUGGACUGUAACUGACGCUGAGGCACGAAAGCGUGGGGAGCGAACAGGAUUAGAUACCCUUGUAGUC